rnacentral:rRNA from 1 species
UACGUAGGUGGCAAGCGUUGUCCGGAAUUAUUGGGCGUAAAGCGCGCGCAGGUGGUUUCUUAAGUCUGAUGUGAAAGCCCACGGCUCAACCGUGGAGGGUCAUUGGAAACUGGGGAACUUGAGUGCAGAAGAGGAAAGUGGAAUUCCAAGUGUAGCGGUGAAAUGCGUAGAGAUUUGGAGGAACACCAGUGGCGAAGGCGACUUUCUGGUCUGUAACUGACACUGAGGCGCGAAGGCUAGGGGAGCGAACGGG